rnacentral:rRNA from 1 species
GAUGAACGCUGGCGGCGUGCCUAACACAUGCAAGUCGAACGGAGAUUACGGACGGAAGUUUUCGGAUGGAAGCCUGUAAUUCUUAGUGGCGGACGGGUGAGUAACGCGUGGGCAACCUGCCCUAUACAGGGGGAUAGCAGCUGGAAACGGCUGGUAAGACCGCAUAAGUCGGUUAAAUCGCAUGAUUUGAUCGGGAAAUGAGCAAUCAGGUAUAGGAUGGGCCCGCGUCCGAUUAGCCAGUUGGCAGGGUAAAAGCCUACCAAAGCGACGAUCGGUAGCCGGACUGAGAGGUCGGACGGCCACAUUGGGACUGAGACACGGCCCAAACUCCUACGGGAGGCAGCAGUGGGGGUUAUUGCACAAUGGAGGAAACUCUGAUGCAGCGACGCCGCGUGAGUGAAGAAGUAUUUCGGUAUGUAAAGCUCUAUCAGCAGGGAAGAUGAUGACGGUACCUGACUAAGAAGCCCCGGCUAACUACGUG